rnacentral:snRNA from 1 species
AUACCUUUCUCGGCCUUUUGGCUAAGAUCAAGUGUAGUAUCUGUUCUUAUCAGUUUAAUAUUUGAUAUGUGAGUCAUCGACUCACACGAUAUUAACUCAAUUUUUUCAGGGGAAGAGUCCACUACGAUAGCUUGCUAUCGGGUCUCUCAAGUGUUGCGUUGGUGUUGCACUAUUACCUUGGCCUGACACACCCCAC